CCUCAGUCCCCUGCCCAGGUUCCAGGCACACCAGGUGGCCUCCCUUUUUGCAGAUGCUCCAGGGGAGCUCCAGAGCUUCCAACACAUCGGGCUGGCUCAGGACUGCACGUGCUCUGAGGCAUCAGGGCCAAGGGCCCAUGGUCCUGGGAUCCCCUCCGGUCCUCCUCCUUGCAGCAGAAAAAUUGUUUUGGAUCCCUCUCCUCCCCUCCUGCAAGGCCCCCUCUUACCCCACACACCCAGAGCUGCCAGUGCUGCCCAGGGGCUAACAGCCGGCCCAGCCCCACGGGCCCUUUAUCCCACAACGCCCACACCAUUAUCGCUUGUCCCGACGAGGACCUGACCUUGGCCAAUGGGGAGGGAAGGCUCUGCUUUUCCCCGUGCUGGCACUAGAGCCCCAGCAGCCUGA
rnacentral:lncRNA from 1 species